CCUUGCUACUUGGAUAACCGUAGUAAUUCUAGAGCUAAUACAUGCAGGAAUUCCCGACUUCGGAAGGGAUGUAUUUAUUAGAUAAGAAACCAAACCGGUCUCCGGUUGUGUGCUGAGUCAUAAUAACUGCUCGAAUCGCACAGCUCUACGCUGGCGAUGGUUCAUUCAAAUUUCUGCCCUAUCAGCUUUCGAUGGUAGGAUAGAGGCCUACCAUGGCGUUAACGGGUAACGGAGAAUUAGGGUUCGAUUCCGGAGAGGGAGCCUGAGAAAUGGCUACCACAUCCAAGGAAGGCAGCAGGCGCGUAAAUUGCCCGAAUCCUGACACAGGGAGGUAGUGACAAGAAAUAACAAUACAGGGCUCUCUGAGUCUUGUAAUUGGAAUGAGUACAAUUUACAUCUCUUCACGAGGAUCAAUUGGAGGGCAAGUCUGGUGCCAGCAGCCGCGGUAAUUCCAGCUCCAAUAGCGUAUAUUAAAGUUGUUGCAGUUAAAACGCUCGUAGUCGGAUUUCGGGGCGGGGCCGCCGGUCUGCCGAUAGGUAUGCACUGGCGGGCGCGUCCUUUUUCCCGGAGACGGCUGCUACUCUUAACUGAGCGGUGGUCGGAGACGGGAUGUUUACUUUGAAAAAAUCAGAGUGUUUCAAGCAGGCAGUCGCUCUUGCAUGGAUUAGCAUG
rnacentral:rRNA from 1 species